rnacentral:rRNA from 1 species
GACGAACGCUGGCGGCGUGCUUAACACAUGCAAGUCGAACGGAAAGGCCCUGCUUUUGUGGGGUGCUCGAGUGGCGAACGGGUGAGUAACACGUGAGUAACCUGCCCUUGACUUUGGGAUAACUUCAGGAAACUGGGGCUAAUACCGGAUAGGAGCUCCUGCUGCAUGGUGGGGGUUGGAAAGUUUCGGCGGUUGGGGAUGGACUCGCGGCUUAUCAGCUUGUUGGUGGGGUAGUGGCUUACCAAGGCUUUGACGGGUAGCCGGCCUGAGAGGGUGACCGGCCACAUUGGGACUGAGAUUCGGCCCAGACUCCUACGGGAGGCAGCAGUGGGGAAUACUGCACAAUGGGCGGAAGCCUGAUGCAGCAACGCCGCGUGCGGGAUGACGGCCUUCGGGUUGUAAACCGCUUUCGCCUGUGACGAAGCGUGAGUGACGGUAAUGGGUAAAGAAGCACCGGCUAACUACGUG